ACUAAUUCUAGCCCUACUAUCAUUCCAAUUAAUUAUUUCAAUCACUAAAUCAAAACAUUUACCCCAAUAAAAGUAUUGGAGAAAGAAAUUAUACUAAGGCGCUAUAGAACAAGUACCGCAAGGGAAAGAUGAAAGACAAAUUAAAAGUAUAAAUAAGCAAAGAUUAAACCUUGUACCUUUUGCAUAAUGAAUUAACUAGAAGUAUUCUAACUAAAAGAAUUGCAGCUAGAAACCCCGAAACCAAACGAGCUACCUAAAAACAAUUUUACGAAUCAACCCGUCUAUGUAGCAAAAUAGUGGGAAGAUUUUUAGGUAGAGGUGAAAAGCCUAACGAGCUUGGUGAUAGCUGGUUACCCAGAAAAUGAAUUUUAGUUCAACUUUAAAUUUACUAUAUGAACAUAAAACCUAAAUGUAAAUUUAAAUUAUAGCCUAAAGAGGGACAGCUCUUUAGGAACGGAAAAAACCUUAAUUAGCGAAUAAAAUUACAUCAUAUCUAACCAUUGUUGGCCUAAAAGCAGCCACCAAUAAAGAAAGCGUUCAAGCUCAACAUAGAUACUCCAUUAAUUUUACAAUUUUCAAUGAAUUCCCAUAUGACAAACUGGGUCAAUCUAUCAUUAUAUAGAUGAGAUACUGUUAAUAUGAGUAACAAGAAUUAGAAUUCUCUAGGCACAAGUGUAUAACAACACGGAUACCCAUUGUUAUUUAUAGGUAAUUAGACAAAAAUCCCCAAACUAAUACAUCUAAGAUUCAACCGUUAACCCAACACAGGAGUGCUUUACAGAAAGAUUAAAAAGAAUGAAAGGAACUCGGCAAACACGAACCCCGCCUGUUUACCAAAAACAUCACCUCUAGCAUUACAAGUAUUAGAGGCAUUGCCUGCCCAGUGACUAAAGUUUAACGGCCGCGGUAUCCUGACCGUGCAAAGGUAGCAUAAUCACUUGUUCCUUAAUUAGGGACUAGCAUGAAUGGCCAAACGAGGGUUCAACUGUCUCUCAUUCUCAAUCAGUGAAAUUGACCUUCCAGUGAAGAGGCUGGAAUACCACAAUAAGACGAGAAGACCCUAUGGAGCUUUAAUUAACCAGCUUACUUUAUAACCACAAUAAACCUAAUGGAUCAAAAAGCAAAAUAUAAGCUGAAAAUUUCGGUUGGGGUGACCUCGGAGAACAUAAAAUCCUCCGAAUGAUUGUAACAUAGACUAACAAGUCAAAGUAAUACAAAAAUCUUAUUGACCCAAAAAUUCUUUGAUCAACGGACCAAGUUACCCUAGGGAUAACAGCGCAAUCCUAUUUAAGAGUCCAUAUCGAAAAUUAGGGUUUACGACCUCGAUGUUGGAUCAGGACAUCCCAAUGGUGCAGAAGCUAUUAAUGGUUCGUUUGUUCAACGAUUAAAGUCCUACGUGAUCUGAGUUCAGACCGGAGCAAUCCAGGUCGGUUUCUAUCUAUUUACAAUUUCUCCCAGUACGAAAGGACAAGAGAAAUAGAGCCUCCUUCCUAUUAAGCGCUCUCAACUUAAUUUAUGAAUUAAAUCUCAAUUAAAUAAAAAUGUACAACAUCCUUCACCUAGACAAGGUU
rnacentral:rRNA from 1 species